AAAAAAUAUAUUUAUAUAUAUUUCUUGCCUAUGUAGGUGCAGAGUAUCACUCUGCCUUUGCUGAGGAAAGGUUUCAUCUUUCAAAUUAGCUGCCCCUAAGCCAUCAUCCAGCUCACAAACAAGUCUUGAAUCUCCUUAUGAGCAGCAGUAAUUAGAUGGACCAGAAAAUGAGAAGGGGAGCGGAGCAAUAAAACAGGCAAAGUAAUUUCGCAUUAUUUCCAGACUGGUAUCUCAGGGAAAACUUCUUAAUGGGCCGCUUGUUCUGUAAGUUGGGUUGGCAUUCAAGUGUGUGUUUCUGGGGUAGUGCUUUGGUCCCAGGGCUAGAGAGAGAACUGUCCAUCUCUACUGGUUUAUGGUAGUGUUAGUGUCGGUCAACAGAAUAAGAUCUCUGGUCUGAGUGGAGACUUGUUCGAUCCCUUUGGUAAGGGAUCACCAUAGAAAGCUUGGCUCACCAGCUAAAACCUUAAUGAAAAGAUAGAAUGGUUUUUAAAAUGAGACACUGUAUUUUUCUUUUCCAUGAUCCCCACCACCAUUGUUCAGAAGCUUACUAACCAGUCAUGUAAAAGGUCCUAAGUCUACCCUAUGAACAAUCAGAAAAGCAUACAUAUUUUUCACAUUUUCUAUCUCUUUUCUAAGUGUUCUUUCCUUAGUACUGGGGUCUUUAUCCCCAGCAUUUUGGGCCUCCCUACUCUUUCCUUAAACCCUGUAACCCUACAUGUGGCUGCUUGCUGGCCAUGAGCCUAACCUCCAUGGCAGCUUAAACAGCACGGCUUGGCCCUUCUCCUUUCUUGUCCUCUCGGAGCUGCUAGGGCUCUACAGCUUGCCAGUCCUGGGGUUCUUCUUCUGAACUCUAAUAAAUCGUCCUUGUGGUUCUUCGUGAGUCUGUUUUUAAGUCCUGUUGUCAGUGUGACUCGGAAUCCCAGAAGGGACCUUGAUCUCCCCUGUGUCACUGUGGGAGGAAUAUUAUAAGAGGUGGACUUGAUAAUACUGAAUCCCAUGUUCAGGAUUUGGAAGUAAUAUGUAAAGGACUCUGAAAAGAAGCAAGACUUGGCUACUAGGCUGUAAGCUUCUGACUCAGAAACUUUUUCUGUGCAUUUGUAAGCUUGGCACUAGCAGUAAUCGCCAGGUUGUAGAGAGGGUCCACAUGACCCUGUAGCUUUGGGCAGGUUGAGUGUGGUACACUGGGUGGUUCCAUUUAAGUGGGGCUGACAGUGCUGUUUGGAGGGGUAUAUGGGAAGAUUUGGAGGGAGGGAAGAGAGAAGUGUUGUAGUUACAAUCUCAAAAAUAAAGGGCCUUUUGCACACACCAAGUAAGUGUGCUAUCACCAAGCCAUUACCCUAGUCUAAUAACGUUUUCUGUAUUCAUUUACCUAUAUAAAGUUUGAGUGAGUUUUUUUCCCCUUGGCUACUGUGAAUAGUUGUGCACUGACCAUGAUUGUGCAGAUGCCUCUGAUUUACCAACCUCAGUUCCCAAGCUUCAUAUAACUGGAUUAUAGGAUAAUUCUAUGCUUACUUUUAAGAAGUGUCCAUACCAUUUUCCAUGGGCUAGGAUUAAAGCUAGCUUCAUUGUCCUUGCAAUUUCUGUUUCCUCAAAGAUUAGACUUGUCGUACAUUAUCUUUUAAUUCAUUGGUUGACCAUAAACAUCAUUUCUUUAUGGAAAAUGUCACUUAAUUGCAUGGGUCAUUCUUUAGCUGUGGUGAAGCAUUUUGGUUAGAUGGAUGUUAGUCUCCUGUUUUGUGGUGCUGGGAAUUGAACCCAGGGCUUUCCACUUGUGGAGUGAGCCCUUGGCCUGUAAGCUCCGCCUCACUGCUGCAGUUUGCUCUUUUGCCUAUGCUUUGGGAAUGCUCUUCAGGAAACCAUAAGCCAGACCAAUGCCUGCUACUUCUUUUAGUAGCUCUUCAGCAUUCGGUAUCACAUUUAAUAAAUUGCAAAUUAAUUAUGAUUCAGUUACUGUAUUGGAAUAAAGGUCUAAUUUUAUUCUUUUGUGUUUUCCCACCAGUGAUUCCUGAAGACACUAUCCUCAACCCUUUGUGCAUUUUCAACUCUCUGUAAGAGAUAUGGAGACUUUGAUGAUUUUAAUCUGGAGCAUGCGCUGAAAGAAACUUCCUCAGUAAAGCGUGACUCAAACAAACAAGUCCACCAAGCAAGCACAAGUGGUCGGCCGUGCACCACACUGACAAUCUUGCCUUCAGAAAAGUACAGGCAUAUGACACUAGCUGUUCCUCCAUCCACCUGUUUGUUCUGUUGUGCAGGCUUGUGUCAUCUCAUCAUACGUGUGUCAUCUUCCUUUUUCAUUUAGUUUAUGUCGAGCCCACGAGAGAACGUGUAUCUGCCUUACCCUUUUUUCUGCUGUACAAAAAGAGAGCUCCGACCAGUUUCAUUCCUCUCGCUGUUUUGUUUUGAGACAGGGUCUCUUGAUUUAGCCAGGGUUGUCCUGAAAUUCUCUGUGCUGACAAGACCGCCUUUGACUUGGGUCCAGUGCUAGAGCAACAGUGACUCUUGGGCACUGAUGUGCAUUUCUAGCUUCAGAACCCAUGACUUUUUAUGAUGCUUCAGUGUGAUCCCCUCAAUGGCCUCGGGGACCGAUACCGAGACCCUUCUCAGGAUGUGACUUCUGUAAACCAUUAAGCAGCCGCUGUGUUUUACAAUCUGCUUCCUUUUUCCUCCUUUCUCUCUUCAGAGAGCCACUUUAGCACCACGACUAGAAGGACAGGAACAACCAGAGCCCCAUCAAAUCCAGCAGAACUUGAUGGGUUUGACUUGGAAGAUGCCUUGGAUGAUCGGACCGAUCUAGAUGGCCCCAAAAAGAAAAGUACAGGAGAGGGAGGAGGUUGGUCAGACAAGGUUCUCGAAGAUAUCUUGGGAGGCGCGGGAUACAAACCUGACAAGAAUAAAGGUAGGAAUGUUGCUUUGUCUGGCAACACAUGGAUUCUCCUUAAAAUGCUAACCAUCCGGCUGCCAGGUAAACAUGUCACUCUCAGCCUCUGGCAAAUCAGGCUUCGACAUGUGCACUUGCCGUGUGCAGUGGGCUCUCAUUCCUGCGGGUGGGGACUCAUUUGUGAGCCAUCCUGAGAUGCUACCCAUUUGCUCUGUUGCUCUUUAAGCCUGAGCUGGUGUCCCCACUACCUAGAUGCACCUCGUAAGCCAGUUUUCCAUGCAGUGUGAGGGUUCAAACUUAGCAUGGCACACAUUUUAAAGAAGCCCUUAGCAAAUCAGAUGUUUACAAAAUUCCUUUGGAUUCCAUUUCCCCUUCCCAGGAAGAUUCACAUUUCCCUCCUAUUGGCUCCCAGGAAGUGGAAACUCUCCUUGGGGUGUAUCGUGUGAGCGAAGAAACUAUUUUCAAUUAAAAAGACA
rnacentral:sRNA from 1 species